UUUGAUCGACUCUCUGUUAUCCACAACUAAGUCGGCCGAGCUUGAGCUCUCACGGACAAGGAUCAAGCAUCUGGUCUGCAGCACCUUCCACGGCGCUUCUCGUUCCCCAAGCAGCCGCAGGAGGAAGCCAUGACAUCUCCCGCCGUGAGCAUUACUGUCGCAGAGGCCGUCUGGGAGCAGAUCAAAUCCUCACGAUCAGCCUCGGACGAUCACCUGUCGAUUUUGCAAUUCCUCUUCGGCAGGAACUUGGAGCGCGCCACAAGGAUCGUCGACCAGGGCGGCGUGCGUAAGGUCUCCGCCGCGCCCAGCGGCCGCUCCUUCUUCCUGGUUGUCGGGGAGUCAAAGAGGAAGGACGAGUAUAUCUGCUUCCCGGAGCACCACUGCACUUGCUAUUCCUUCUUCUACGACGUCGUCAAUCGUGGGGAGCAACUCUGCGUGGGCUCUCUUGGAGAUUCUGGGUUCCAAUUUGAUGGCUUGGUUGUGUUAAAUUGCUUUGGUCUAAUUUUUGUCGUUCUUGUUUUAGUGCAAGCAUCAAAUAGCGGCUCGACUGGCAGAAGCCGUAGGCGAGGUUGUGGAAGUGGAGGUGUCCGAUGAGCAGCUAGCAACGAUGCUCUCGAAGCUCUGACAAACAAAGCGCCCCCGAGAGUGGAUAUACUGAUGGAUGCUACUGAUGUCUGACGCAUCAGAAGUUUGGAUCCAACCCAAGUUCUGAGUCUAAGCUUGUCACAAAUCCGGUGUCGUGAAGAUGGGAUUUGGCUGGUGAACCUACAAAAACUGCAUCAGGAUGUAUCCAACAAAGAUCUUAAGUUAAUCUAUACCCGAAGGAUUCGAGAGUGGAAGUGUAUGAUUUUCUCAGAUAGGUUAGAGGAUGCACCUGGGGGACUAGGUAACCGCUGAAACUGAAGUGAGUUGUUAAUUCACGAGAUGGUUACGCGAAAUCCUCAAUCAUCAUUCAGCUGUGAAGGAUCAACAUAGGCUGAACUGCGAGCUCGAGAUCUGCAAGCUCACGUGGACACCGAAGAGGAUGCUUGGUGGUGCUUACUAUAUGCCGGUGCAUUGGUAGGCUGCCCUAGAAGAAGUGUUUAUGUUGAAAGAAGCUCGAGUUUUGCUAGCUCUAGAACGAUGUUUUGAUAUCAUGGGAAUAAAAGAGUUUCACAUUGAUGCAAUGAAAAUGUUGACCUCUUUAUCUGAAAACAGAAAUAUUUUCAUAUGCUGCCUAUUGUAUGAUUAAGAAAGCCUGAAGCUAAUAAUUUGGAUGUUCCCAAUUUUUGAGCGAAUUUAAGAAAGUCUGCAUCUUUCUAGCA